rnacentral:rRNA from 1 species
UACGGAGGGUGCAAGCGUUGUUCGGAAUCAUUGGGCGUAAAGAGCGUGUAGGUGGUUAAAUAAGUCAGAUGUGAAAUACCUUGGCUCAACCAAGGAAGUGCAUCUGAAACUGUUUAGCUUGAGUACGGGAGGGGAAUGGCGGAAUUCCCAGUGUAGAGGUGAAAUUCAUAGAUAUUGGGAGGAACACCGGUGGCGAAGGCGGCCUUCUAGCCCGAUACUGACACUGAGACGCGAAAGCGUGGGGAGCAAA